rnacentral:rRNA from 1 species
UGGGGAAUAUUGGACAAUGGGCGCAAGCCUGAUCCAGCCAUGCCGCGUGAGUGAUGAAGGCCUUAGGGUUGUAAAGCUCUUUCGCCGGUGAAGAUAAUGACGGUAACCGGAGAAGAAGCCCCGGCUAACUUCGUGCCAGCAGCCGCGGUAAUACGAAGGGGGGCUAGCGUUGCUCGGAAUCACUGGGCGUAAAGCGCACGUAGGCGGAUCGUUAAGUCAGGGGUGAAAUCCUGGAGCUCAACUCCAGAACUGCCCUUGAUACUGGCGAUCUCGAGUUCGAGAGAGGUUGGUGGAACUCCGAGUGUAGAGGUGAAAUUCGUAGAUAUUCGGAAGAACACCAGUGGCGAAGGCGGCCAACUGGCUCGAUACUGACGCUGAGGUGCGAAAGCGUGGGGAGCAAAACAGGAUUAGAUACCCUGGUAGUCCACGCCGUAAACGAUGGAUGCUAGCCGUUGGGGGGUUUACCUCUCAGUGGCGCAGCUAACGCCUUAAGCAUCCCGCCUGGGGGAGUACGGUCGCAAGAUUAAAACUCAAAUGAAUUGAGGGGUCAUAGCU